GUGUGGCCGCUUGGAAUCCGCGCGGAAGCUCCUAAGCCGUUAUUUGAAACGUAAACUCACCGGCUGCAAUGGAAAUACUGGUACCUGGGAACCUGGAGCUUGCCUUUUCAAAGCCACCUUUCCCGCCGUCACUUCUGUCCUUGGGGGCUGCCCAAAUCAUCCCCAUGGGCUGUUGGCGGUGUGGCCGCAGAGCAACUCUUGCACCCCUGGGCUGGCUGAACAGUCCACACUUCAUCAGGCCUCUUAGAGGGACUGCACAGUGCGGUGUUGUGCAAAGGAGAAACAUGACAGUGGAGAGGCCCCAAGCUGCAUGGUACAGAUGGGAAACUCAGGCGGGCAGGGAGGAUGCAAAAGAGCAAAAUAUCCAUGGUCCUACUUUCUGGAGCAGCAAUUCUACAAGAAUUGGAAGAAAUGAAGUUAAGUAAUUUCCAAGCAGUAUCUCCCCUCCCUGAUAAACAUGGAGGAAGAGAGAGAAGAGCAGGAGAGGAGAAGUACCCCAGGACAACAGUCCAGCCUCUGAAGAUUCAUCCAGGUUGGGACAAAGGGCCAGCCUCUCCUUUUAUCUCCUUGGUGGCUCCCAGCCAUCCUUUAAGCUCACCAGCAUUUUGGAUUCAAUGCUUUUGAAAGCUGUAGAAGUGCAGGUACUCCCUUGAUUUGAAUCCCAUGCAGAGCACCUUGGCAGUCUGCACUUGCUAUCCUCCCCUGCACGCAGUCCUCAUUUUAGGUGUCCCUGCACAUGUGCUGUAAGCUCCUUGCACCACUCCCACCCCUGCAGCUGUCGCCUCAGCCCUGUCCUGGCUCCCACACCUGUCCCUGGGCUCUGUGGAACUCAGGAUCUUCUUGCUCUUUUAGUAUAUGCGAGCACAUUGCUCCCUCUUUUAAAAGCAGUCUUUGGUUUUAGCCUGCCUUGGCUAUCAACCAUGAGCUUUCAUUGGCUUCACUGUGGGUUUUUUUUUAAGAUUUUAUUUAUUAAUGAGAGAUAAACAGAGAGGCAGAGACAUGGGCAGAGGGAGAAGCAGGCUCUGUGCAGGGAGUCCAACAUGGGACUCGAUCCCAGGUCUCCAGAAUCACACCCUGGGCUGAAGGCAGCGCUAAACUGCUGAGCCACCCAGGCUGCCCUCAAUGUGUUUUAGGGGCCCCACAAGUUCUUUCUAGGCAGCCUGAAACAUGGGUGUCUGUCUGAGUAGGAAGUUGAAGAAGCUCCCAACAGCCGCCAUGUCAGCCCUGGCUCUUGCCAAAAGGAAAGGCUGG